CCUACGGGGGGCAGCAGUGGGGAAUAUUGCACAAUGGGGGAAACCCUGAUGCAGCGACGCCGCGUGAGUGAAGAAGUAAUUCGUUAUGUAAAGCUCUAUCAGCAGGGAAGAAAAUGACGGUACCUGAGUAAGAAGCCCCGGCUAACUACGUGCCAGCCGCCGCGGUAAUACGUAGGGGGCAAGCGUUAUCCGGAUUUACUGGGUGGAAAGGGAGCGUAGACGGCAGUACAAGUCUGGAGUGAAAGGCGGGGGCUCAACCCCCGGACUGCUCUGGAAACUGUACGGCUGGAGUGCAGGAGAGGUAAGUGGAAUUCCUAGUGUAGCGGUGAAAUGCGUAGAUAUUAGGAGGAACACCAGUGGCGAAGGCGGCUUACUGGACUGUAACUGACGUUGAGGCUCGAAAGCGUGGGGAGCAAACAGGAUUAGAUACCCCAGUAGUC
rnacentral:rRNA from 1 species